rnacentral:rRNA from 1 species
AGUGAACGCUGGCGGCAGGCCUAACACAUGCAAGUCGAGCGGCAGCGCGGGGGCAACCCUGGCGGCGAGCGGCGGACGGGUGAGGAAUUCGUCGGAAUCUGCCUUUUUGUGGGGGAUAACGUAGGGAAACUUACGCUAAUACCGCAUACGUCCUACGGGAGAAAGUGGGGGACCGCAAGGCCUCACGCAGAAAGAUGAGCCGACGACCGAUUAGCUAGUUGGUGGGGUAAAGGCCCACCAAGGCGACGAUCGGUAGCUGGUCUGAGAGGAUGAUUAGCCACACUGGGACUGAGACACGGCCCAGACUCCUACGGGAGGCAGCAGUGGGGAAUAUUGGACAAUGGGCGCAAGCCUGAUCCAGCCAUGCCGCGUGUGUGAAGAAGGCCUUCGGGUUGUAAAGCACUUUUGUCCGGAAAGAAAUCCCUGGAGCUAAUACCUUCGGGGGAUGACGGUACCGGAAGAAUAAGCACCGGCUAACUUCGUG